rnacentral:rRNA from 1 species
CCUUGUCAUUAGUUGCUACGAAAGGGCACUCUAAUGAAACUGCCGGUGACAAACCGGAGGAAGGUGGGGAUGACGUCAAGUCCUCAUGGCCCUUAUGGGUAGGGCUUCACACUUCAUACAAUGGUACAUACAGAGGGCCGCCAACCCGCGAGGGGGAGCUAAUCCCAGAAAGUGUAUCGUAGUCCGGAUUGUAUUCUGCAACUCGACUACAUGAAUUUGGAAUCGCUAGUAAUCGCGGAUCAGCAUGUCGCGGUGAAUACUUUCCCGGGUCUUGUACACACCGCCCGUCACACCAUGGGAGCGGGUUUUACCAGAAGUAGGUAGCCUAACCGUAAGGAGGGCGCUUACCACGGUAGGAUUCGUGACUGGGGUGAAGUCGUAACAAGGUAGCCGUAUCGGAAGGUGCGGCUGGAUCACCU